UUCUGUAUUAUUGUUUUUGUGGGGUAAUGUGUGCUCAAAGAUGAGACUUUCAGUGACAAUUUCAAUUAUUUUUUAAAUUUCAAUUCAUGACCAUUUUAUUUUGAUACUGUACCUCAAAAUCAUCUAAAAAAAAACAAACAAGCUAAAGAUAAUCAUCUAAAAAAACAACCUAUAGAUAGAUAUGAUUGUUUCUGGUUCCGGAAUGGAAGAUUCUAUAACUCCCACACCAGUACUUCAUGUGUGGCAUCAUGUGUGACAUCAUCAGCAGAGAUUAUAAGUAUAGGGUGAAUUAUUAAAACCACUCACUUCUAUCUAGAGCCAAAGACAGCGAGGAAACCAGGGACCAGCGAAGAAACCAGAGCGAGGAAUUAACCAAACUCAACAAACCUUCGACCGUCUUCCAGAACUUCAGUGUUGUUGAAGAAUCUCCAACUUCUGCAACCAAACAACUACUGCAGUUGUCACCUUUGAUGUCUUUUCAACCACUGUUGAACAAAAGUUCUGCUACCAUGCCAAUCAGGACCAAUCCACGGUGCAGAGGAGGACCAAAUUACCGUGGGCCAAACCACCACCACGUAAACCCCGCCGGACCCCAAAGCUCUGGUGGCGCCUCUCAGGCAGAAAUUAACUACCUUAACUACCUGAGAGAGGAUAACCAUCAUAUGAGCAUUCAAAUCCAGGAGCUCAUCGCUGAGAAGCAGCAGUCAUCCCACGAGAUGGUUCGCUCUAAGGCCAGGAUCCAGCACCUGGAAGAGAUUCUGCUGGAACUGGACAAGGAGAAAAAAGAAGUCCACACACAAAAGGGAGAACUCGAGCAGCAGAGAGAAGUCUUGGAGCAACAAGAAGAGAGUCAAAGACUGGAGGAGAAGAUCAGGCUGAAUGAGAACGUCAUCAGGUUCAAGACUGAUCAGUUUGAAACUCUCCAGACACAGUUCCAAGAACUGCUCAGGAGCAAAAAAGAGACAGAAGACCUGCAGGAAGAAAACAACAAGCUGCAGAAAGAAAAUCAGGCAUUGUUAGAAAAGACUAUUGAGUCUUUUGAGUCUCUCCUAGCGAUCAUCAGGCUCACUACUGAUCGGAUUGAAACUCUCCAGACAGAGAAAUCACAACUGGAGAAUGUGCUCUUCCAAAAACUGCUCAGGAGUAAAGAAGAGAUCGAAGACCUGGAGGACCUUUAUAUCCAAGAAAAAAAGAGAUGCUGCAAGUUUUUCAGAGGUCCCAAAGUGAGAAAAAACAAUAAAAAAAUAAGUGAAGAGGUGAUCGAGGAGACAAACGAACAACAGAAGCGGGAGAAGAAAGCCAAGAGUAGGAGAAAGGGCUUCUGGAGUUGGCUCAAGUGCUGUUUCCCUUGAGCCUCCCCUUUCCUCCAUCUCCUCACCUCUUCAAUGUGUGUCCUGUCAUGUGCGUUCUGUCGUGUGCAUUCUGUCGUGUGCAUUCUGUCGUGUGUCCUGUGUCCUGUCAUGUGUGUCCUGUCCUGUCCUGUGUCCUGUCAUGUGUGUCCUGUCAUGUGCGUUCUGUCGUGUGUCCUGUGUCCUGUCAUGUGUGUCCUGUCAUGUGUGUCCCUUUCCUUCCAUCUUUUCUUUUCUUUUCCUUUCCUUUCCUGUCCUGUCGUGUGUGUCCUGCCAAGUGCGUUCUGUCGUGUGUCCUGUCAUGUGUGUCCUGCCAAGUGCGUUCUGUCGUGUGUAAUGUGUCCUGUCAUGUGUGUCCUGUCAUGUGUGUCCCUUUCCUUCCAUCUUUUCUUUUCUUUUCCUUUCCUUUCCUGUCCUGUCGUGUGUGUCCUGCCAAGUGCGUUCUGUCGUGUGUCCUGUCAUGUGUGUCCUGUCAUGUGCGUUCUGUCGUGUGUCCUGUGUCCUGUCAUGUGUUUCCUGUCAUGUGUUUCCUGUCAGGUGCGUUCUAUCGUGUGUCCUGUGUCCUGUCCUGUGUGUCCUGUCAUGUGUGUCCUGUCAUGUGUCCUGUGUCCUGUGACCCCGAGUUAGGCAGCAUCCGAAGACAUACACCUUGAAUCUGCCUACAGACAUGUCUCAGAAUUCAGACUCCACUUUCUGUCACCAACUGACCAGUGGUGCUGCAGUGUCGGCUGAUGGCCUGUAUAGGUCCGGUAACGGCUGUAGCUCCAUAUCUGCUUCACAGCUACUAGGAGACAUGUUUCAGAAAAAGAACACUCACUACUAGCAAGCAAAAUUCACUCUUCAAUUGAAACCUUCACAGAUUUCUUGUUUUUUUUCCCCUACACAAUGUUCUGGGGGUUUUUCCCCUGCUUGCAGGUUAUAGUGAGUACAUGUUUAAACAAAGAUGAAGAUAUAAUAAAAAAAAAUGUGAUCAAAAUAACAUUUCUGUGUAUAUGUUGAAAGUUGUUAAAAUUAAAAUAUAUGUGUAUGUGGAAAUUCGAGUUUGACAUGUAUUUUUUCAUUACGAUACCAUGAUGUGUAUCUGUGUUUUUGCCAAAAAUGUAACAUUAUACUUCUUUGCUUAUGUAGAAAGACAGAGACACUGUCCUAUUUGAUUAAUUAGGGCACCUAUUGUAAUGAAACACACACACCCAAAACCUCCACAGGCUGCAUGUCAGCCUGAAAAUCAUUGAAACCUCUCAGCUUCACACAGCCUUUAGAGUAACUCCAAUUGAAAUUUUGACCAGGUGAGAUCUUCCUGUCUCUGCCUUUCAAAAUAAAAGCACAGCACAAUUUCAAAAUAAAGGCCUGCAACAGACCGGAAAAUGCCAGUUAAACAAUUGCCCUCUGUCCUGUAAUGUAUUCUG